rnacentral:rRNA from 1 species
AACGAACGCUGGCGGCAGGCCUAACACAUGCAAGUCGAGCGAGGACUUCGGUCCUAGCGGCGGACGGGUGAGUAACGCGUGGGAACGUGCCCUUUGCUUCGGAAUAGCCCUGGGAAACUGGGAGUAAUACCGGAUGAGCCCUUUGGGGGAAAGAUUUAUCGGCGAAGGAUCGGCCCGCGUUGGAUUAGGUAGUUGGUGGGGUAAUGGCCUACCAAGCCGACGAUCCAUAGCUGGUUUGAGAGGAUGAUCAGCCACACUGGGACUGAGACACGGCCCAGACUCCUACGGGAGGCAGCAGUGGGGAAUCUUAGACAAUGGGGGAAACCCUGAUCUAGCCAUGCCGCGUGAGCGAUGAAGGCCUUAGGGUUGUAAAGCUCUUUUAGCUGGGAAGAUAAUGACGGUACCAGCAGAAGAAGCCCCGGCUAACUCCGUG